AUCUCUUAGUUCAUGAGUGUAAUGAUUGAGUGUUCAUGCCAUUGUGUGAGAUGUCCUUCCUUCAGACCUUGUUAUGACAUUGGCACAUCAGUCAUCCAUCA
rfam:Fukomys damarensis contig99460, whole genome shotgun sequence.